CUUUGUUUCCCCUUUUUAGGGCUGAGUAAUAUUCCACUGAACCUGUGUAUCACAUCUUCUUCAUCUACUCCUCUGCCGGGGGAUAUUUAGGUUCCUUCCAUGGGUUUGCUGUUGUAAACAGCGCUGCAGUGAACUUUGAGGUGCGUGUAUCCUUUCAGACCAUGUUUUCCUCUGGGUAUAUGCCCAGGAGUGGGAUUGCAGGGUCAUACAAACCAUGAAUAAAAAUAAUUGGAAGUGAA